AUGGUACCAUCAAAAAACCCUGAUUCUUUGUACUAGGAUGCAAAAGAAAACAAUCCUUGUGCCGUCUGUCUCUCGUGAUGGUGGCCCAGAUAGAACUGGGGAAUACAUCU
ensembl:snoRNA